GUGUCAGCAGCCGCGGUAAUACAGAGGGCGCGAGCGUUGUCCGGAAUCACUGGGCGUAAAGGGCGCGUAGGUGGCGGCAUAAGGCCGCGGUGAAAGUCUGGGGCUCAACCCCAGAUCGGCCGCGGCGACUGUGUCGCUUGGGCACCGUAGAGGCAGAUGGAAUUCCCGGUGUAGCGGUGGAAUGCGUAGAGAUCGGGAAGAACACCAGUGGCGAAGGCGGUCUGCUGGGCGGUGGGACUCGCAAGAGUCCUUUUAGCCGACACUGAGGCGCGACAGCGUGGGGAGCAAACAGGAUUAGAAACCCGUGUAGUCC
rnacentral:rRNA from 1 species